CCCGCUGAGUUUAAGCAUAUAAAUAAGCGGAGGAGAAGAAACUUACGAGGAUUCCCCUAGUAACGGCGAGCGAACCGGGAGCAGCCCAUCUUGAGAAUCGGGCGGCCUAGCCGCCCGAAUUGUAGUCUGGAGAGGCGUCCUCAGCGACGGACCGGGCCCAAGUUCUCUGGAAAGGGACACCUGGGAGGGUGAGAGCCCCGCACGGCCCGGACCCUGUCGCACCACGAGGCGCCGUCAACGAGUCGGGUUGUUUGGGAAUGCAGCCCAAAUCGGGCGGUAAACUCCGUCCAAGGCUAAAUACAGGCGAGAGACCGAUAGCGAACAAGUACCGCGAGGGAAAGAUGAAAAGGACUUUGAAAAGAGAGUCAAAGAGUGCUUGAAAUUGCCGGGAGGGAAGCGGAUGGGGGCUGGCGACGCGCACCGGCCGUAUGCGGAACGACUCCUGCUGGUCCGCCGAUCGGCUCGGGGCGUGGACCGUUGUCGCCCGCGACGGCGGCCAAAGCCCGGGGGCCCUAGGCGCCCUCGGCAGCCGUCGUCGGCACGGACGGUAUCCGCGCGCCUCUGGCGCGCCCCUCGGGGCGCUGCGCCGCAACGGCCUGCGAGCUCCCCAUCCGACCCAUCUUGAAACAUGG
rnacentral:ncRNA from 1 species